rnacentral:rRNA from 1 species
CCUACGGGAGGCAGCAGUGAGGAAUAUUGGUCAAUGGGCUUACGCCUGAACCAGCCAAGUCGCGUGAGGGAAGACUGCCCUAUGGGUUGUAAACCUCUUUUGUCAGGGAGCAACGCCGGCUACGUGUAGCCGGACUGAGAGUACCUGAAGAAAAAGCAUCAGCUAACCCCGUGCCAGCAGGCGCGGUAAUACGGAGGAUGCGAGCGUUAUCCGGAUUUAAUGGGUUUAAAGGGUGCGUAGGCGGGAUGCCAAGUCAGCGGUAAAAUCGCGGGGCUAAACCUCGCACCGUCGUUGAAACUGGCGUGCUUGAGUGGGCGAGAAGUAUGCGGAAUGCGUGGAGUAGCGGUGAUAGGCAGAGAUAUCACGCAGAACUCCGAUUGCGAAGGCAGCAUACCGGCGCUCAACUGACGCUCGUGCGCGAAAGCGUGGGUAUCGAAAAGGAUUAGAUACCCGUGUAGUC